AAUCCUCUGUGCAAUGAUUCCAACUCCAGGGAUCAGUGUCUGAAGUGAAGCUACAGAUUGUCUGGUGGAUAAAUAAUCCAAGAAGGAACGGGGGAUGUUAUGACUUUUUGAGAGAAGGCUAACAUGUCAUCCUUGACAGAUAAACUUUAAAAAAUUAUAAUAAUGGAAAUGAAGAAAGAAAACAACAGAAGAUGAGAAUAGCAAAAGAGCUAGACAUUUCCGACAGGUAAGAAAAUGGGAAACAAACCUCUAAAAUGCUUAAGAAAAAUAUUGCAAAUGUGUUUAUCCAAUGUGUAUUUCAUGUUAGAAUAAUCCAGUUUUAAAAAGUAAAUGAAGAUCAUUAAAAAUUGGAAAUAUA
ensembl:lncRNA NPY6R neuropeptide Y receptor Y6 (pseudogene)